rnacentral:rRNA from 1 species
AGCCUGACUGACGCUGAAGCUCGAAGGUGCGGGUAUCGAACAGGAUUAGAUACCCUGGUAGUCCGCACGGUAAACGAUGGAUGCCCGCUGUCGGCCUAUAUGGUCGGUGGCCAAGCGAAAGCGUUAAGCAUCCCACCUGGGGAGUACGCCGGCAACGGUGAAACUCAAAGGAAUUGACGGGGGCCCGCACAAGCGGAGGAACAUGUGGUUUAAUUCGAUGAUACGCGAGGAACCUUACCCGGGCUUGAAUUGCAGUUGCAUUGGCUGGAGACAGCCAUUCCCUUCGGGGCUGCUGUGAAGGUGCUGCAUGGUUGUCGUCAGCUCGUGCCGUGAGGUGUCGGCUUAAGUGCCAUAACGAGCGCAACCCUUGUCCGUAGUUGCCAUCAGGUGAUGCUGGGCACUCUUCGGAUACUGCCACCGUAAGGUGUGAGGAAGGUGGGGAUGACGUCAAAUCAGCACGGCCCUUACGUCCGGGGCUACACACGUGUUACAAUGGGAUAUACAGAGCGUCGGCGUCCCGCGAGGUCCGUCCAAUCGCAAAAGUGUCCCUCAGUUCGGAUUGGGGUCUGCAACCCGACCCCAUGAAGCUGGAUUCGCUAGU